GGCACCCCUCUCCAUUUGAACGGACUUCUAAGUCAAGCCAUUAAUUUGACAAGCGAUUUGAAUGUGACUCAACCUGUAAGAGACUCCUUCUGGUAUUUUACACCAAGUGGAAGAAAGAAAAAGAGAAUCUGUGAAUUUAGGAAUGAUAAGACUCAUCAUUGUGAUAAGUGGAAUGACCCCAGGGAGCGCUUUGAAUUAUAUAACGAUGGUAUGACAUUGGAAAUAAAGUCUGUGAUGUUGGAGGAUAGCGGGAUAUUUGAAUUGUUAGUUACUCUUCAAGAUAGGACUACUGAAACUAGUUUGUUUAAUUUCACUGUGUACGGUAAGUAAGAGUUUGUUGUUUAAUGAAACAUCUGAGACUUUAAAGAAAAUGUAUAUAUUUAUAGAUAGGAAAUAGCAAUUGAAGGCGAG